GUUUACGGCCGCAAGGUUAAAACUCAAAUGAAUUGACGGGGGCCCGCACAAGCGGUGGAGCAUGUGGUUUAAUUCGAUGCAACGCGAAGAACCUUACCUACUCUUGACAUCCAGAGAACUUAGCAGAGAUGCUUUGCUGCCUUCGGGAACUCUGAGACAGGUGCUGAAUGGCUGUCGUCAGCUCGUGUUGUGAAAAGUUCGGUUAAGUCCCGCAACUAGCGCAACACUUAUC
rnacentral:rRNA from 1 species